UUUCUCAUAUGUAGCAUGAUGUUGUGGUUGAUGCAACUGUUUUGACCUGCUUAUAUGUUCCUUUUGGUGAAAAGGAUUCUCGAAACCUUGUUGUGGAGAGGCGAGAAGAAGGCCCUGUUGCACCUCUCACUAUGAAUGCGUUUGAGUUGAUCUCCACAUCUCAGGGACUCAACCUCAGUUCCCUUUUUGAAAAGCAAAUGGUAUGGUUAAAUUGCAUUCUGAAGCUUGAUAAGCAUUUUAGCUGAUGGGCAGGUAACUUCAUUAUUGCAAGUAUUUGUGCAUAUAGCCACUCAAUUACAUAACCGAACAUGCUAAUCUUACUAAUCCUGAUCUGCAGAUUCAUCAUAAUAUGUGAAUGUUGAAUGCAUAUUGUAUGAUCUGAUCUCUAUGUAUAGCUUAAUAUUAGCUCAGUUUUACAAGCUAAUUGUUAUGAAUUUGCUUAACAUGAAUCUGGGACAGCUGACAUUUCUUUUGGUUAAAGGGAC
rnacentral:lncRNA from 1 species